rnacentral:lncRNA from 1 species
CUAAAUAAAUGUCAAGGUUACUAUCCGAACAAUUUAUCAACACUGUAUUCAUACUGUAAUGAAGACAAUUUUUUCUUUCCUUCUUUUUUGUAUGAACUGUAUCAUCGAUAAGAAAGAGCAGAGACAAAAUCACCUUUGAGUACCAUUACAAGAACUGACCUCUUCAGAUCUGGAAACAUGGUCCCACCAUUCAGUUCUCUCUGGAUACCAAUCCAAUUAUUCUCUCAAGAAUUUCCUUUCAUGUUCUUCACCUGAAAUUUUUCCUUUUUUUUUUUCUUUCUGGAGAUACAUUAUCUUAAUAUUUCGUCUCUGUCUUCUCUUCAGUUAUCAGUUAACAGUCUCUCCAGAUGUACAGUUAAACUGUCUCCUCACAGAAUCCUUAAAGAAAGAGAGUUAAACUGUAACUCAAAAACCGACCUGCCUCUUAAAGAUACAAAGACAACAUCUAUAGUCUCUGUGGGAGAAGCUAUUGAUGCUUGAGCUAUAUAGUCAAGUCAGACAAGAAGGAUGAUGGAAGGAUAAUUAGGGAGAUGGGUUGCUUCUAGAAGGAUGUAUCCUCAUAGGCUGAGCAAUUCUGAAUGCCAGACAGCAACACGAAGGCACUGGGCUCCUGGGACAGAAGGAAGGAACUGAAGGGUGAAUCCUCCAAAGAGAUGAAGGCAGCGUCUGUUUUCGCCCAUCAAGGUUGCCCUGGCACAUGUGGUGGUCAAAGGGACUCAGCUGGCAAGGGGUGAGUCAGCUCCCUUGUGCGGAGAAGAUGGAUUCUGCUGGGAGGAUAAGCUUAUGAUGGAGGGAUGGCUAAGAAGGGCUGUUUUCCUCACAUUUCUUGCCCCCCUCUUCUUCCCCUCCAUGUGGAACCUGUAUUAUAGUCCCUGAAAUACUCACAUGACAUAACUGACAUCAACCCCCAAUGCAGUACCCUCUUUCCGCCAUCUUUUGUGUGUUGUCUUCCUCGAUUACAGUGUGAACUCGUUGAGGGUAGGGACGGUCUUUCUUUCAUUUGUUGGAAUUAUCAUUUGUAAUUGUCCCGGAAUUUAGUACAAUGCCUAGCACAUAGUAGGUGCUUAAUAAAGGCUCAUCAACUCAUUUUUACA